AGCUCCAAUAGCGUAUAUUAAAGUUGUUGCAGUUAAAAAGCUCGUAGUCGGAUUUCUGAUUGAUAUUGCGUAGUUGGCUUUUGUCAACUUCUCGAUUCAGUCAUUCUUCUACUCUUCAGUGGCAACACUGUUGCGGUAGAGCCUUUACUUUGAGAAAAUUAGAGUGUUUCAAGCAAGCUUUUGCUUUGAAUACUACAGCAUGGAAUAAUACGAUAGGACUUCGGGCCUAUUUGUUGGUUUCUGGUCUGAAGUAAUGAUAAAUAGGGACAGUUGGGGGCACUCGUAUUCGAUCGUCAGCGGUGAAAUGCAUGGAUUGAUUGAAGACGAACUACUGCGAAAGCAUUUGCCAAAGAUGUUUUCA
rnacentral:rRNA from 1 species